rnacentral:lncRNA from 1 species
AAAUUUCUGUGUCCGUCUGUGUUUAGUAGACUUUCCCUUUGGACGCCCACCCUGCAAUCAGGUUCACUGAAACGCAAGGGACGUGUAGUGGUAGGUAUCCAUGUGAAGGCAUAGUUCAGUGAACUUGGACCUAUGUGUACAUCUACUGCACCCAAAGAUGCAUACAUUUCCAUCACCCCAGGUAUCUAUAGGCAACACCUGACAUGCCGUGUUUUCCUUCCCUCUUCUAGAACUUCACACGCAUUAAACUUCACACGCUGCAAUUAAACACGAUGCAUCUCAUUCUGCUGUCUUCACUCUGCAUAAGGUUUGGAACGUAUAUCCACGUGUCUCCGUAUGCAAACAGUCACUCGCGUCACUGCCAAUCAAAGUUCC